rnacentral:rRNA from 1 species
GACGAACGCUGGCGGCGUGCUUAACACAUGCAAGUCGAACGGAAAGGCCUGCUUUCCCUUGUGGAUUGCGGGUACUCGAGUGGCGAACGGGUGAGUAACACGUGAGUGAUCUGCCCCCAACUUGGGUAUAAGCCUGGGAAACUGGGUCUAAUUCCCGAUAGGACUGCAGGGUGGUGCCUGUGGUGGAAAACGAUUUUCUAGUGGUUGGGGAUGAGCUCGCGGCCUAUCAGCUUGUUGGUGGGGUAAUGGCCUACCAAGGCGGCGACGGGUAGCCGGCCUGAGAGGGUGGACGGCCACAUUGGGACUGAGAUACGGCCCCGACACCUACGGGAGGCAGCAGUGGGGACUAUUGCACAAUGGGCGGAAGCCUGAUGCAGCGACGCCGCGUGGGGGAUGACGGCCUUCGGGUUGUAAACUCCUUUCGACCGCGAGGAAGCCACCUGGUUGGAAGGGUGGUGACGGUAGUGGUAGAAGAAGCACCGGCUAACUACGUG